rnacentral:rRNA from 1 species
CGCGCAGGCGGCUUGGCAAGUCGGGUGUGAAAUCCCGGGGCUCAACCCCGUGACUGCAUCCGAUACUGUCAGGCUAGAGGUAGGUAGGGGAGAUCGGAAUUCCUGGUGUAGCGGUGAAAUGCGCAGAUAUCAGGAGGAACACCGGUGGCGAAGGCGGAUCUCUGGGCCUUACCUGACGCUCAGGCGCGAAAGCUAGGGAGCGAACA